rnacentral:rRNA from 1 species
AAUCAACGCUGGCGGCAGGCCUAACACAUGCAAGUCGAACGCCGUAGCAAUACGGAGUGGCAGACGGGUGAGUAACGCGUGGGAACAUACCCCUCGGUUCGGAAUAACUUAGGGAAACUUGAGCUAAUACCGGAUACGUCCGAGGUUUUAACCGGCCUCGGAGAAAGAUUUAUCGCCGGGAGGAUUGGCCCGCGUCUGAUUAGCUUGUUGGUGAGGUAAUGGCUCACCAAGGCGACGAUCAGUAGCUGGUCUGAGAGGAUGAUCAGCCACAUUGGGACUGAGACACGGCCCAAACUCCUACGGGAGGCAGCAGUGGGGAAUAUUGGACAAUGGGCGAAAGCCUGAUCCAGCCAUGCCGCGUGAGUGAUGAAGGCCUUAGGGUUGUAAAGCUCUUUUGCCCGGGAAGAUAAUGACGGUACCGGGAGAAUAAG